AGUGAACGCUGGCGGUAGGCCUAACACAUGCAAGUCGAACGGCAGCACAGUAAGAGCUUGCUCUUACGGGUGGCGAGUGGCGGACGGGUGAGGAAUACAUCGGAAUCUACUUUUUCGUGGGGGAUAACGUAGGGAAACUUACGCUAAUACCGCAUACGACCUACGGGUGAAAGCAGGGGAUCUUCGGACCUUGCGCGAUUGAAUGAGCCGAUGUCGGAUUAGCUAGUUGGCGGGGUAAAGGCCCACCAAGGCGACGAUCCGUAGCUGGUCUGAGAGGAUGAUCAGCCACACUGGAACUGGAACACGGUCCAGACUCCUAAGGGAGGCAGCAGUGGGGAAUAUUGGAAAAUGGGCGCAAGCCUGAUCCAGCCAUACCGCGUGGGUGAAGAAGGCCUUCGGGUUUUAAAGCCCUUUUGUUGGGAAAGAAAAGCAGCAGGUUAAUACCCCGCUGUUCUGACGGUACCCAAAGAAUAAGCACCGGCUAACUUCGUG
rnacentral:rRNA from 1 species